GCAUUAAUGGGGUAGUGGUAACCUGGGUCGUUGCCAGCUGCAUUGUGCUACAGAGCUCGACCCGCCGGGGGUUCGAUUCCCCCUUAAUGCA